AUUGAACGCUGGCGGCAGGCCUAACACAUGCAAGUCGAACGGUAACAGGAAACAGCUUGCUGUUUCGCUGACGAGUGGCGGACGGGUGAGUAAUGUCUGGGAAACUGCCUGAUGGAGGGGGAUAACUACUGGAAACGGUAGCUAAUACCGCAUAACGUCGCAAGACCAAAGAGGGGGACCUUCGGGCCUCUUGCCAUCGGAUGUGCCCAGAUGGGAUUAGCUAGUAGGUGGGGUAACGGCUCACCUAGGCGACGAUCCCUAGCUGGUCUGAGAGGAUGACCAGCCACACUGGAACUGAGACACGGUCCAGACUCCUACGGGAGGCAGCAGUGGGGAAUAUUGCACAAUGGGCGCAAGCCUGAUGCAGCCAUGCCGCGUGUAUGAAGAGGGCCUUCGGGUUGUAAAGUACUUUCAGCGGGGAUGAAGGGAGUAAAGUUAAUACCUUUGCUCAUUGACGUUACCCGCAGAAGAAGCACCGGCUAACUCCGUG
rnacentral:rRNA from 1 species